rnacentral:rRNA from 1 species
GAUAAACGCUGGCGGCGUGCAUGAGACAUGCAAGUCGAACGAACGAGCUUGCUCGUUAGUGGCGAACGGCUGAGUAACGCGUAGGUGACCUGCCCCGAAGUGGGGGAUAACUGCCCGAAAGGGUGGCUAAUACCGCAUGUGGCGACACUUUCAUUGGUGUCAUCAAAGCCGCGAGGCGCUUCGGGAGGGGCCUGCGUCCGAUUAGCUCGUUGGUGGGGUAAUGGCUCACCAAGGCGACGAUCGGUAGGUGGUCUGAGAGGACGAUCACCCAGACCUGGGACUGAGACACGGCCCAGACUCCUACGGGAGGCUG